rnacentral:rRNA from 1 species
UUAAGUUGGGAGGAAGGGUACUUACCUAAUACGUGAGUAUUUUGACGUUACCGACAGAAUAAGCACCGGCUAACUCUGUGCCAGCAGCCGCGGUAAUACAGAGGGUGCAAGCGUUAAUCGGAAUUACUGGGCGUAAAGCGCGCGUAGGUGGUUCGUUAAGUUGGAUGUGAAAUCCCCGGGCUCAACCUGGGAACUGCAUCCAAAACUGGCGAGCUAGAGUAUGGUAGAGGGUGGUGGAAUU